AACCUUUACACUGCACGACAGUGCGAUAAGGGAAUCCCAAGUGCGUAGGCAUAGAGCCUACGCUUUUGUCUACCGUAGGGAGGUAGACGAAUAAGGGCUGGGCAAGACCGGUGCCAGCCGCCGCGGUAAUACCGGCAGCCCGGGUGAUGGCCGAUCUUAUUGGGCCUAAAGCGUCCGUAGCUGGCCGCGCAAGUCUAUCGGAAAAUCCACCCGCUCAACGGGUGGGCGUCCGGUAGAAACUGCGUGGCUUGGGACCGGAAGGCGCGACGGGUACGUCCGGGGUAGGAGUGAAAUCCUGUAAUCCUGGACGGACCGCCGAUGGCGAAAGCACGUCGCGAAGACGGAUCCGACAGUGAGGGACGAAAGCUAGGGUCUCGAACCGGAUUAGAUACCCGGGUAGUCCUAGCCGUAAACAAUGCCUGUUAGGUGUGGCUCCCACUACGAGUGGGUGCUGUGCCGUAGGGAAGCCGCUAAACAGGCCGCCUGGGAAGUACGUCCGCAAGGAUGAAACUUAAAGGAAUUGGCGGGGGAG
rnacentral:rRNA from 1 species